rnacentral:tmRNA from 1 species
GGGGAUGUAUCGGAUUCGACGUAUUGAUCGCACUUUUAUAAAUGGCGAGGGCGGAUCUAUCCGUAAAUAGAAAAAUCUAACUGCAACUUUUGAAGAUGCGGUUGCCGAUCUUAAAGGCUAUAUUGCACAUAAUGUGCUUGGCGUUGGCGCUCAAAAUCGAGCAUAUGCUUUCGCUGCCUAACGAUUCGGCUGCCUUUAUCGACAAUCUUUGGUAUGUCGAUUUGGGUAACAACCUUUCCAAAGCACAAUGUAGGGAAAGUUCCCGACUCUUCCCCAAUGUUGUGAACAAAUAAAAAAUCGGCAGCAUGUUUUAGGUUUGCUUGUUUUCCAAAACACGCGUUUGAGUAAAAAGAAGCUAUCUCUCGUUAAACAUUUUUAGAAGGGCCGAUACGGACCCGGGUUCAACUCCCGGCAUCUCCACAA